AUACGUAGGGUGCAAGCGUUAAUCGGAAUUACUGGGCGUAAAGCGUGUGUAGGCGGUUCGGGAAGAAAGAUGUGAAAUCCCAGGGCUCAACCUUGGAACUGCAUUUUUAACUUGCCGAGCUAGAGUAUGUCAGAGGGGGGUAGAAUUCCACGUGUAGCAGUGAAAUGCGUAGAUAUGUGGAGGAAUACCGAUGGCGAAGGCAGCCCCCUCGGGAUAAUACUGACGCUCAGACACGAGAGCGUGGGGAGC
rnacentral:rRNA from 1 species